UACGUAGGGUGCGAGCGUUGCCCGGAUUUAUUGGGCGUAAAGGGCGCGUAGGCGGUGCCGUACGUCCGUUGUGAAAUCGCUCGGCUCAACUGGGCGGGGUCAGCGGAUACGGUGGCACUUGAGCAAGCUAGGGGGCAAUGGAAUUCCCGGUGUAGUGGUGAAAUGCGUAGAGAGCGGGAGGAACACCAGUGGCGAAGGCGCCAUGCUGGGCGGGCCCUGACGCUGAGGCGCGAAAGCUAGGGGAGCGAACGGA
rnacentral:rRNA from 1 species